rnacentral:lncRNA from 1 species
UUCUGUUGUGUGCAACCAGUCCGGCAACACUCCUGACUGGCAACUGCACAUCCUCCGUCUUAUCACCCCGCGCCGCGCCCUCUGCCAUUGCCCUCUGGCGACGGCGUCCUCCUGCGGCCAAUUCUGUGUCGGAGCGUGUCGCAUGCGGGCCUGCGGCUUCCACGCCCCUGCGUCUGCGUCUUCAAAGCUGAGGGCUCUGCGGCUGCCAGGGACGAUGGUGGACUCGUGACUUCGGAAGACAUCUGUCGGUUUGUCUGAGUGUCUGCCUCGCCUGUCCUUCGUCACUGCUGUCACGGCAUGCCUCAGCGCGAGGACGAAGCAGGGCAGCCGAGCGCAAGGUCCAUCUGGGUGAGACUUCGAAACGCGAUCGUACACGUUUUGAGAUGUCUCUUCGCCUUCUUCUUCUCGUCGUCGCAUCUUCGCAACAGAAGCCCGGCAAGAGAAGUCGUUGUGAGUUUUUUUAUUAUAUUCU